AACACCUCAAAAUGAUCUAAGGUUUUUCCCAUUCUCUUGUCUUGUGAUUCUUAUCUAAAAAACUCCUUUAGACCUCUCGCUUUGUUUCUCUACUCUGGAAAAACCUCUUCAUGGUAUCAAAGCUUUUUUUUUUUUUUUUUUACUAACGUCCAUGGAAAAUCCUUCAAGCGAUCCUCAAUUUGAAACUGAUAUUAAUAAUACCCCAACAACACUGCUUUCUGCUCCAAAUUUUGCUCCCAACUCUGGUUUUCCUAAUCAAUCUUGGAAACCUUUCUCGAAUUCGUUAAGCUCUUCUUUUAACAAUCAAACUCGAUCAAACUAACUACUUAGCUUGCACAUCUCAAGUAGUUCCCACUGUUAUCGGCCAUGAUCUUGAUGAUUUGUUGUUCAACAGUGACAAACCUCCUCAGUUCUUGGUAAAUGACGAUUGGAAAACGCAAAGACCAACUACUACUUUCUUGGCUCAGAUCUUCGAUGACUGAAUUUGUUGGAAGGCCCUUGAACAAAGGUUCUCAAGUAAAUCUAAGGCUCAACUUCUACAACUGAAAGGACAACUUUGCAAUGUUCAGAAGUAGAACCUCUCCAUUGCUGAGUGUUUUUACAAGGUAAUAUUCCUAAGUGACAACUUGGCGAUUCCUGGAUGUACUAUUAUUGAUGAAGAUCUUGAGCUUUGAUUGCUGAAUGGUCUUGGACCAGAAUAUAAUUUAGUGAUUUUUGGUAUAACUUCUAGUAGUGAAUCGAAGUCCUUGGAAGAAAUACAAGCUUUAUUAAUGGCUUAUGAGUGCAGACUUGAACACUACCAUAGUGUUGCUAAUCUUUCCUCCAAAAUGACAACAAAUCUUGUAAUUGGGGAUCUUUAAGAACCAUUCAUUCUGGUCCUUACAAGCCUCUAUUUGCUCAAAACCCUUCAUAUGAAACUCCCUCAAGAUCAGGAGCUAAGCCAUACAAUCGAUCUUUCCCUUCAAAUGAUUUAAGACCCUUAUGUCAAGUUUGUCUCAUGCUCGACCAUACUGCUGCAAUAUGUCACUAUAGAUUUGUUAAAGUCUUUGUCACUCGCAAGGCCUCCAUAAAUUCACCUCGAGCUUACUUGACUGAAGUUGAAGGUGAUCAUGAUCCACAAAUAUUCCUCUUCAACAAUCCCGACUUUGUAGAUGAUCCUAUGUGGUAUACUGAUAUGGGUGCCACCAAUCAUGUUUCAUUUGGCAUGGAAAAUCUGGACACUGCUGCUCCUUACACUGGAUCUAAAUCUUUGGCUAUAAGUAAUGGACAAUCUUGCUGAAAUGGAAACGUAAAAAUGACCUCUAUAUGCUUGGAGAUGAUUCUCAGUCCACCUCCUCUGCUGGUUUUCAUGUCAUCUUGCCACUUCUUCUGAGUCUCUCACCGGUUCUCUUCAAUCAUUUAAUUCCUUAGCAUCUUCAUGUAAUCAAUAUUGUAAUAUUUCAGGUCACAAAUGUUCAAUGACAAAUGAUGUAAUAAAACUCAGAUUAGUAAAAGCUUACUUUCUAAAAAUUGGUGUGAUCCUCAAGUUUUUUCUCAGCUUCUCUUACUAAUGAUGUUAAUGUUUGGCAUUACAAACUACGUCAUCCCUCAAUUAGAAAUUUAAUGUACACACAUCUGGAGAUCAUUUGACUAUGGUAUGAUGAUAAUCAAAUAAUACAAAAUCCUUCCACUGCGUACUUGAUUUAGAACCAUAAAAACAACACAAGAAUGGUACGUAUUUAACUCAAAUAAAGUACAUUAGCCAUCUCCUUGUUAAGCUUCAUCUGGAAAGGGUCAAAGCGUCUCCAAGCCUGACCAACUCUACUCAUAAAUUAUCUCUUCAUGAAGGUGCUCUUUUUUCUGAUCCUAUGCUCUAUCACAGUACACUAGGAGCCUUACAAUACCUCAGACUAACCAGGCCUGGUGUUACCUUUAUUGUCAAUAAACUAAAUCAAUUUGUUCAAGCUCCUACCAUUGUCCAUUGGGAAGCUUGCAAACGAUUUCUUAGAUAUUUGAAAGGGACGAUUGCUCAAGGUCUUCUCAUAACACCAACAAGUCUUAUGGAUCUUCACGGGUAGUCCGAUGCUGUUUGGCUAGUUGUCCCGAUGAUUGUCGCUCUACAGGUGGUUAUGCCAUGUUCCUUGGUGGGAAUCUAAUAUCCUGUUCUACUAAAAAGCAACAAGUUAUCGCUCGAUCUAGUAUUGAAAGUGAGUUUCGUGCUCUAGCAAAUGCGGCUACUAAAAUCAAGUGGAUUGUUUCUCUUCGUGAACUCCAAGUUACUCUAUCUCAAGCUCCUAUUUUGUGGGUGGACAAUCAAGGAGCCUUUGCUCUUGCGGCAAAUUCCAUGUUUCAUGCUCGUAGCAAGCACAUAGAGAUUGAUCUACACUUUGUCCGGUACCAAAUUCUCGCUCAACACCUAUCACUCUAAUAUGUUCUCUCAGUUGAUCAAAUCGCGGAUGUUCUUACUAAAGCCUUGCCUACUGAUCGUUUUGAGUAUUUGAAGUCCAAACUUCAUGUGGUGAAUUUCCAAUUUCGUUUUGAGUAUGUUAAGUAGUAGGUAGUUAUAUCUGUUAGAGGUUGUUAAUAGUCAAGCUGUUUUGUAACUAAUUCUUUGUACUCUUUAUCUCUAUAAGUAAAAUAACACCUCAGAAUGAU